rnacentral:rRNA from 1 species
CUCCUACGGGAGGCAGCAGUUGGGAAUCUUGGACAAUGGGGGAAACCCUGAUCCAGCCAUGCCGCGUGAGUGAUGAAGGCCUUCGGGUUGUAAAACUCUUUCGACGGGGACGAUAAUGACGGUACCCGUAGAAGAAGCUCCGGCUAACUUCGUGCCAGCAGCCGCGGUAAUACGAAGGGGGCUAGCGUUGUUCGGAAUUACUGGGCGUAAAGCGCGCGCAGGCGGUUUUUCAAGUCAGUGGUGAAAGCCCGGAGCUCAACUCCGGAACUGCCAUUGAAACUGUAAAACUUGAGGACGAGAGAGGUGAGUGGAAUUCCCAGUGUAGAGGUGAAAUUCGUAGAUAUUGGGAAGAACACCGGUGGCGAAGGCGGCUCACUGGCUCGUAUCUGACGCUCAGGCGCGACAGCGUGGGGAUCAAACAGGAUUAGAUACCCUGGUAGUCCACGCCGUAAACGAUGAAUGCUAGCCGUUGGGCAGCUUGCUGUUCAGUGGCGCAGCUAACGCAUUAAGC